rnacentral:rRNA from 1 species
CCUACGGGAGGCAGCAGUGAGGAAUAUUGGUCAAUGGCCGGAAGGCUGAACCAGCCAUGCCGCGUGAAGGUCAGUGCCCUAUGGGCGUUAAACUUCUUUUGUGCGGGAGCAAUAAUGGUCACGUGUGGCCAGACGAGAGUACCGUACGAAUAAGCAUCGGCUAACUCCGUGCCAGCAGCCGCGGUUAUACGGGGGAUGCAAGCGUUAUCCGGAUUUAUUGGGUUUAAAGGGUGCGUAGGCUGGGAGGUAAGGCAGCGGUGAAAUGCCCCCGCUCAACGGGGUGAAGUGCCAUUGAAACUGGCUGGCUGGAAUGCGGAUGCGGUGGGAGGAAUGUGUGGUGUAGCGGUGAAAUGCAUAGAUAUCACACAGAACACCGAUUGCGAAGGCAUCUCACGAAUCCGCGAUUGACGCUGAUGCACGAAAGCGUGGGUAUCAAACAGGAUUAGAUACCCUGGUAGUC